CAAUAUCAUUAUAAUUCAGAUUGAAAAGUUGUUUCGUUCUGUCUCUUUUAGAAACAAAAGAAGAAAAAAAAGCCAGAGGUGUUUAACUUUUCAGCCAUUCACUUGAUUCAUGAUCCCCAAGAUUUUGCAGAAAAAUUACUAAAGCAGCUGGAGAGCUCUAAGGAAAGGUUUGAAGUGAAGAUGAUGCUCAUGAAUCUCAUCUCCAGAUUGGUGGGAAUUCACGAGGUUUGAAAUACCUUAUGUUUCUCUUCUAAAAUCU
rnacentral:lncRNA from 1 species